AAGGGCUUGGCCCUUUCUACAAAGCUGAGUCGCUGGGUGAAUCCUGGUUACAACUCACAACUGAGUCAAGAAGCCAAAACCAAAUUGCCAGGCCCAGGAAGCAAUCAGAACAUGAGGUGAGGUUACAAUUCUGAAAACAGAUACUCAAAGCCUGGGCAGGGGAGGGAAAUCAAUGGAGAAGGUAGAAAUACACUCUGAAGGGCAAGGGACUGAGAACGCUGGGUCUAGUCAGAAGGGGAGAUGAUAUGAUUUGGCUGUGUCCCCAGCCAAAUCUCAUCUUGAAUUGUAGUUCCCAUUAUCCCCACUUGUUGUGGGAGGGACCCAGGGGGAGGUUAUUAAAUCACGGGGGCAGGUUUUUCCCCAUGCUAUUCUUGUGAUAGUGAAUACAUUUCAUGAGAUCUGAUUGUUUUAUAAAGGGCAGUUCCCCUGCAAAUGCCCUCUUGCCUGCUGCCAUGUAAGACAUGCCUUUUGCUCCACCUUCACCUUCUGCCAUGAUUAUGAAGCCUUCCCAGUCAUGUGGAACUGUGAGUCCAUUAAAACUCUUUUCCUUUAUAAAUUACCCAGUCUUGGGUAUUUAUUAUAGCAGUGUAAGAACAGACUAAACAAGAGAGAAAGCACCCCAGGGUUUACUGUCAUCACUGGGGUGAUGAGUAGGGAGCAAAAGUGGAGAAGUGACAACUUGAGUUUGCCUUACAGGAAAAAGCAAAGAUAUCACUGGAAAAACAGAACACACCCAUCGACAAGAUGGCGGAGGGAUUUCAAGACCCCAGUUGGAGCCAAAGUUGGUGAAGGACAAGGAGACCCAGGCGUGUGCAUAGUACCACAAUUUCGCUGGAGGGAAAUGUAAGAGAUGAAGGGGUGGCUGGAGGCUUAAGACCCUGUUUACUUAAAAAUAUUUUUUUAAAAAAAGAAAAAGAAAGACAGUCCUUAGGCAAUAUAAGAUAAAGGAAAAAACAGCAAAAAUCAUUUUAAGAAAUAAAAUUCUGCCAACGUGGUGGUAAACACCUGUAAUCCCAGCACUUUGGGAGGCCAAGGCGGAAGGAUCACUCGAGCCCAGGAGUAUGAGACCAGCCUGGGCAACAUGGUGAAACCCCAUCUCUACAAACAUACAAAAAGUAGCUGAACAUGGUGGCGUGCACCUGCAGUACCAGCUACUCUGAGGGGGUGGGGGAGGCUGAGGCAGCAGGGAUGGCUUGAGCAGGGUAGAGAGAGACAAGGAAGGAAGGAAGGAAAGGAAGGAAGGAAGGAAGGAAGGAAGGAAGGAAGGAAGGAAGGAAGGAAGGAAGGAAGGAAGGAAGGAAGGAAAGAAGGGAGGGAGGGAGGGGAGAAAGAGAGAAAGAAAGGAAGGAGGGAAGGAGAGAGGGGAGGAAGGAAGGAGAGAGAAAGAGGAAAGAAGGAAGGAAGGAAGGAGAAGGAGGAAAAAGAAAAGAAGAAAAGAAAGAAAAAGCUCUAGCUGGGUGUGGUGGCUUGUGCCUGUAGUCCAGCUAUUGAGCAGGCUGAAGCAGGAGGAUCACUGGAGCCUAGGAGUGUGAGGCCAACCUGGGCAAAGUAGCAAGACCCCAUCUCUUUAAAAAAUUAGAAAACAAAGUUCUUGUCUAGGAUUGGCCUCUAACUUGCAGCAUGACCUCAGUCCAGUGAUUUUCUUCCCUACAAUUUCUUUUUCACAAAAUCAGAUUCCUCUCUUGUUAGACCUGUUCUUUAAUAGGAAUAUAUAAUUGAUAAAUUACAUAUAAUUGAUAAUAAUAAGAUAUUACAUCAGAGCACUUAAUAAGUGAAAAUCACAGUACAAACGCAUGCUUAAACACUGUUGAAAUUUAAUGAAGUAAUUUUGACACAUGUCUAGAAAGUCAGAAGGGAAAUUUUAUUACUAAAAGUUGAGUUUGAACCAUUUGUUUUCCAGUUUUCAAGAACGUGAAGCACUGUAGUACAAAAGCCUGCCUAGGGACACCAGCACCUAACCCAAUAUGCUUUAACAAAUGAGUAAAGGAAGAAUGCCAAGAUUUCCAGCCUGCAAAGCUUCGCCUCUGGGGAAUCUAUGGCCUUCUUGCAAGGGAUCUUCUAGUUUAUAAGCUCACCAACAUAAUUUGAGAUCCAGUGAAAAUGCUAUUUUCACCAUAUGUAUAUGCCACCAUUUUCAAGUGUAUGUAGAUUGGUUGUGACUAAUAAAAUACAAUAAACAAAUUAUAAAUUUAUCAUUUGUAUAUGUAUUAAUAAAAUACAGAUUCAUUUAAAACAUUACCAAAAUUGAGUCAAUUGUCAACAUCUAUUUCUUGAUCAACC
ensembl:lncRNA